GGAGGGGCAUAUGCCACGACGAGAGUCGUUCAGUUGGGGCAAAAAUCGCUAGCUACGGGCCAAAGACGAGACAUUUCCGUCGUACCCGAUGCAUAUUCCGCAUCCGAGAGCUCAAGCGAGCGUUCAUGGGCCAAAACAACCACAAUUCGAGUUACGUGGGACACAGACGACGCUUCGAGGUUCCCCGCGUCAAAAGCCCGUAACUAAACGGGCAGACGUCGGGUGAAAGAUACGCAAUUUGGCAACAUAAUUCCGUACAGUAGGCACGCAACACAGGAAACCAAAGCAAACGGGCGGCCAAGGCAAGGUGCACUUGUACCAUCAAAUGAAGAGAAGUGAACGGCCGGCCGUCACUGCCACA
rnacentral:misc_RNA from 1 species